rnacentral:lncRNA from 1 species
AAGGAAUUUUUGGUAACCAUGGAAUAACAAAGCGGUCUAGUAAAUACUAGAUUCCGUGUAGUGGUUCCAAGAAAUACUCACGUAACAAAAGCCAUCUUAAGAUUACAAAUAAAAUUCGUUUGGACGUAACUGAAUGCCACUGAGCACUAAGUAACCAGCAGCAUGAUUAUUAUUUUUCAGAAAUCACUAUUACAAAAUUGAAUGCUAUCGAACUUGCAAACUGACUACUGUCGAACUUGAUCUUGAAGCAGUAGGUGACCAUAGAUUUUACGCCAACUUCAUCUGUUCAGCUAUCUCUGCAACGACUGAAACAUUCUUAUCCAUGGGCUGGAGGAAACACAGUAUCCUAUUAAUAGUACUAUCGCCUUUGGUUCACUUUUCUUCUCACAAAACCUGAACCUUGCUACUGGUUAUUAGUAACGAAGGUUUGAAUUUCAAUUGCACAUUACUCUUACCGACCAUAAAUAUGAAGACAUGACUCUCUAUCCCUUGUACAUUAACCGUCAUCCACUUGAAC